rnacentral:lncRNA from 1 species
UGUCCAUCUCUUCCUUCACCUUCCUGAAUCUCUGCUGAUACUUUUUAACUAUAUUUUCCAUAUCUCCAAUUUACCUAAAGACUAUCAAUAGUCAAAUCAUUAAAAAGACAUACAUAAGCGAGAUAUGAGAGAGAAAAAGAGAUAUGCGUAUAUGUGUUAGAGAGAGAGAGGAACUUACAACUGGAGUUGGCCGGAGACAGAAACGGCGGGCAGUUGUUGGCAGCCGCGGGCCAAGUGUUAAUUUGGCUGAAAAUUUUCCUUUUUUAUUUUUUUAAAACCGAGAAAAUAUGGAAUUUAAAUAAUCCUAGGAUUUAACUUCUAUAGAUUUACUGUGUAAAUUUUCUUUACAGUGUGAGCUCAGUGUUUGACCAAAAAAUACAAACUUUCGGUUAAAUUAUUAAAUCUUAUGUAAUAAAGGGUUAAACCUAGUUAAUGAUAAUGACUCUAGAUUUAGAACUAGUUAGCAUAAAUAACGUGAGAUAAUGCUGGUGGGGACCUGAAAAUAGUGCACAUUUAAUAUUCCAAAGGAUUUGAGCAAUAAUAGAGGAGCAUCAAGCAACAAAAUAGCAAUGAAUGGUAUUUAUGUAAAUAAGGAGAAUGAUUCCUCCUUCAAAAUGGCUGUGAGGGUGUUGUCACCUGCAUUAUUAACAGUGUGAGUAGUACCUGUUAUUGGAGGAGGGCAAGGGCCAUGCUGCUCGACCGUAGUCGGUGUAACGCAAGUCCUUACGUUUUCUAUGACUGGUUAGCGUGUCAGUUAGCCAAGCCUCAAGGAGCUUUUUCACCGCUAGUGGGCUCCUUUACCGCGAGUUCCAUGGUUUUAGGACGGUCGUUUAAUCAUACUUGCUUAAUUAGAUUGUUUAAUUACUCAUUCCAUAAAUUAAUUAUGUUGGUGUUCAUAUCUUGAAUUAACCAAAUUUCACCAUCUACUUUAAUUACACUACGUGACAAAUGCACUCAUGUCCAUAAUCAUAUUACAGUCCAAACAUGAGAGUUUAACAAAUUAUGCCAGAUUUCAUUGAGAAUAGGGGCUGUCAUUUCAAAGGAACAUGUAAGUACAUAGAUGUCGAACUUACCAGUUCAAAGCCGAGAAAACACUAGGGAACAGACCAAAUAAAGGUCAGAAAUAGCCUCGACUAGAGCUCAGCAACGAUUCCAACAGCUAUCAGCAGAAUUGAAGACCAAAUCGGCUUGCCAAAAACCCAGAAAUAAUAAAAAAAUUCUCUAGAAUCAAGCAGAAACAGAUGCAACUUCUCCACAGCCUUUUGAAAAGGAAAAUCGGCCUAACUUGAUUAGUGGUAAUGGCCACCUACACCGUUAGUCGCCAUAGAUGAAAGCAAAAGGCUUCAAAAAGAAAUUGAUAGAGAAAAAGGCGAAAGUUUUAGUCGGCAUUUGGACAUAAGAAUUGUAUAAUUCCAAAAAAAC